rnacentral:rRNA from 1 species
GACGGAGGAUGCAAGCGUUAUCCGGAAUGAUUGGGCGUAAAGCGUCCGCAGGUGGCAGUUCAAGUCUGCUGUCAAAGACCGGGGCUUAACUUCGGAAAGGCAGUGGAAACUGAACAGCUAGAGUAUGGUAGGGGCAGAGGGAAUUCCUGGUGUAGCGGUGAAAUGCGUAGAGAUCGUAAGGAAGACCAGUGGCGAAGGCGGGUCUCUGGACAGUUCCUGACGCUGAGGCACGAAGGUCAGGGGAGCAAACGGG